rnacentral:SRP_RNA from 1 species
GCCGGGCGCGGGGGCGCGCGCCUGUAGUCCCAGCUACUCGGGAGUCUGAGCCCGCCGGAUCGCUUGAGUCCAGGAGUUCUGGGCUGCAGUGCGCUAUGCCGAGCGGGCGUCCGCGCUAAGGCCGGCAUCAAUAUGGUGAGCCACGGGGAGCCGAGGCACACCAGGUUGACUAAGGAGGGGUGAACCGGCCCAGGUCGGAGACGGAGCAGGUCAAAGCUCCCGUGCCGGUCAGUAGCGGGAUCGCGCCUGUGAAUAGCCACUGCAGCGUAGCCUGGGCAACACAGAGAGACGCGGGUUCCU